rnacentral:rRNA from 1 species
GAUGAACGCUGGCGGCAUGGCUAAGGCAUGCAAGUCGAAUGGUUUAGCUUGCUAAACCAUGGCAAACGGGAGAGUAACACAUUGGUAAUCUACCCAAGGACGAGAAUAACCCGAAGAAAUUCGGAAUAAUACUCGAUAAUAGUAAAGAACACAUGUUCUUUACUUAAAGUUCCGGCGCCUUGGGAGGAGCCUAUGGCUUAUCAGCUUGUUGGUGAGGUAAAAGCUCACCAAGGCUAUGACGAGUAGCGGGUGUGAGAGCAUGGCCCGUCUCACUGGGACUGAGACACUGCCCAG